AACGAACGCUGGCGGCAGGCUUAACACAUGCAAGUCGAGCGCCCCGCAAGGGGAGCGGCAGACGGGUGAGUAACGCGUGGGGAUCUACCCAUCUCUACGGAAUAACGCAUGGAAACGUGUGCUAAUACCGUAUACGUCCUUCGGGAGAAAGAUUUAUCGGAGAUGGAUAAGCCCGCGUUGGAUUAGCUAGUUGGUGGGGUAAAGGCCUACCAAGGCGACGAUCCAUAGCUGGCCUGAGAGGAUGAUCAGCCACACUGGGACUGAGACACGGCCCAGACUCCUACGGGAGGCAGCAGUGGGGAAUAUUGGACAAUGGGCGCAAGCCUGAUCCAGCCAUGCCGCGUGAGUGAUGAAGGCCCUAGGGUUGUAAAGCUCUUUCACCGGUGAAGAUAAUGACGGUAACCGGAGAAGAAGCCCCGGCUAACUUCGUGCCAGCCGCCGCCGUAAGAC
rnacentral:rRNA from 1 species